UACGUAGGGGGCAAGCGUUGUCCGGAUUCAUUGGGCGUAAAGAGCGUGUAGGCGGCCAGGUAGGUCGGUUGUGAAAACUGGAGGCUCAACCUUCAGACGUCGACCGAAACCAUCUGGCUAGAGUCCGGGAGAGGAGAGUGGAAUUCCGUGGUGUAGCGGUGAAAUGCGCAGAUAUCAGGAAGAACACCCGUGGCGAAAGCGGCUCUCUGGAACGGUACUGGACGCUGAGACGCGAAAGCGUGGGGAGCGAACAGG
rnacentral:rRNA from 1 species